rnacentral:rRNA from 1 species
CCUACGGGAGGCAGCAGUGGGGAAUUGUUCACAAUGGGCGCAAGCCUGAUGACGCAACGCCGCGUGGGGGAUGAAGGCCUUCGGGUCGGAAACCCCUGUCGAAUGGGACGAAAAGCCCGCGAUUUAACAAAACGCGGGACUGACGGUACCGUUAAAGGAAGCCACGGCUAACUCUGUGCCAGCAGCCGCGGUAAU